GGAGGGCUGCCGGAGUGGCCGAACGGGGAACUCUUGAAAAGUUCUAGGGCGGGGCCCUCUCCGUCCUCAUGGGUUCGAAUCCCAUGCCCUCCGCCA
rnacentral:tRNA from 2 species